rnacentral:rRNA from 1 species
AUCGGUGACAGGUGGUGCAUGGUUGUCGUCAGCUCGUGUCGUGAGAUGUUGGGUUAAGUCCCGCAACGAGCGCAACCCCUAUUGUUAGUUGCCAUCAUUCAGUUGGGCACUCUAGCGAGACUGCCGGUAAUAAACCGGAGGAAGGUGGGGAUGACGUCAAAUCAUCAUGCCCCUUAUGACCUGGGCUACACACGUGCUACAAUGGUUGGUACAACGAGUUGCGAGUCGGUGACGGCGAGCUAAUCUCUUAAGGCCAAUCUCAGUUCGGAUUGUAGGCUGCAACUCGCCUACAUGAAGUCGGAAUCGCUAGUAAUCGCGGAUCAGCACGCCGCGGUGAAUACGUUCCCGGGUCUU